rnacentral:rRNA from 1 species
GGGGAAUAUUGCACAAUGGGCGCAAGCCUGAUGCAGCCAUGCCGCGUGUAUGAAGAAGGCCUUCGGGUUGUAAAGUACUUUCAGCGGGGAGGAAGGCGAUAAGGUUAAUAACCUUGUCGAUUGACGUUACCCGCAGAAGAAGCACCGGCUAACUCCGUGCCAGCAGCCGCGGUAAUACGGAGGGUGCAAGCGUUAAUCGGAAUUACUGGGCGUAAAGCGCACGCAGGCGGUCGGUCAAGUCGGAUGUGAAAUCCCCGGGCUCAACCUGGGAACUGCAUUCGAAACUGGCAGGCUGGAGUCUUGUAGAGGGGGGUAGAAUUCCAGGUGUAGCGGUGAAAUGCGUAGAGAUCUGGAGGAAUACCGGUGGCGAAGGCGGCCCCCUGGACAAAGACUGACGCUCAGGGGCGAAAGCGUGGGGAGCAAAC